GGGUAUAGCUCUAGUGGUAGAGCACAUGCUUAGCAUGCAUAAGGUUCUGGGUUCAAGUCCCAGUAUCUCCA
rnacentral:tRNA from 1 species